UACAGAGGUCUCGAGCGUUGUUCGGAUUCAUUGGGCGUAAAGGGUGCGUAGGUGGCGCUGUAAGUCGGGUGUGAAAUCCUGGGGCUUAACCCCGGAACUGCAUUCGAUACUGCAGUGCUUGAGGACUGGAGAGGAGACUGGAAUUCAUGGUGUAGCAGUGAAAUGCGUAGAUAUCAUGAGGAAGACCAGUGGCGAAGGCGGGUCUCUGGACAGUUCCUGACACUGAGGCACGAAGGCCAGGGGAGCAAACGGG
rnacentral:rRNA from 1 species